rnacentral:rRNA from 1 species
CCUACGGGAGGCUGCCGUGAGGAAUAUUGGUCAAUGGGCGGGAGCCUGAACCAGCCAAGCCGCGUGAGGGAAGAAGGUACAGCGUAUCGUAAACCUCUUUUGUCAGGGAACAAAGGCGGGGACUAGUCCCCGGAUGAGGGUACCUGAAGAAAAAGCAUCGGCUAACUCCGUGCCAGCAGCCGCGGUAAUACGGAGGAUGCGAGCGUUAUCCGGAUUUAUUGGGUUUAAAGGGUGGGCAGAGGGCCUGUUAAGUCAGCGGUAAAAGCCCGGGGCUCAACACCGGCCAGCCGGGGAAAAUGGCGGGCGGGAGUGGGAGAGAGGUACGCGGAAUGCGCGGUGUAGCGGUGAAAUGCUUAGAUAUCGCGCAGAACCCCGAUUGCGAAGGCAGCGUACCGGCUCCACACUGACGCUGAGGCACGAAAGCGUGGGUAUCGAACAGGAGUAGAUACCCUGGUAGUC